AGCAGCCGCGGUAAUUCCAGCUCCAAUAGCGUAUAUUAAAGUUGUUGCAGUUAAAAAGCUCGUAGUUGAAUUUCGGGGUCAGCAAGUUGGUCGUGCCACCGGUAUGCACUGGCUUUGCUGAUUCCUCCUUCUUGUAGAACCGUAAUGCCAUUAAUUUGGUGUUGCGGGGAAACAGGACUGUUACUUUGAAAAAUUAGAGUGUUUAAAGCAGGCUAACGCUUGAAUACAUUAGCAUGGAAUAACGAAAUAGGACGACGAUCCUAUUUUGUUGGUUUCUAGGAUUGACGUAAUGAUUAAUAGGGAUAGUUGGGGGCAUUAGUAUUCAAUUGUCAGAGGUGAAAUUCUUGGAUUUAUUGAAGACUAACUACUGCGAAAGCAUUUGCCAAGGAUGUUUUCAUUAAUCAAGAACGAAAGUUAGGGGAUCGAAGACGAUCAGAUACCGUCGUAGUCUUAACCAUAAACU
rnacentral:rRNA from 1 species